GACGAACGCUGGCGGCGUGCUUAACACAUGCAAGUCGAACGGACAGGCCCUGCUUUUGCGGGGUGCUCGAUUGGCGAACGGGUGAGUAACACGUGUGUAACCUGCCCUUGACAUUGGGAUAACUUUAGGAAACUGGGGCUAAUACCGGAUAGGAGCUCCUGCUGCAUUGUGGGGGUUGGAGAGUUUCGGCGGUUGGGGAUGGACUCGCGGGUGAUCAGCUUGUUGGUGGGGUAGUGGCUUACCAAGCCUUGGAGGGGUAGCCGGCCUGAGAGGGUGACCGGCCACAUUACGACUGAGAUACGGCCCAGACUCCUACGGGAGGCAGCAGUGGAGAAUAUUGCACAGUGGGCGGAAGCCUGAUGUAGCAACGCCGCGUGCGGGAUGACGGGCUUCGGGUUGUAAACCGCUUUCGCCUGUGACGAAGAGUGAGUGACGGUAAUGGGUAAAGAAGCACCGGCUAACUACGUG
rnacentral:rRNA from 1 species